UGUAACCAAGUUGUAGCCGAAGGAAGCAACAUUCGAGAAAGUGUCAAGAGGCCAGUUGGACUGGGGCGAUAGCAUCCUAAAGAGUAACGGAGGCGACCAAGGAUCGCCUCAGGGCGGACGGAAAUCGCGCGAAGAGAGAAAAGCUUGAAGGGAGCUGAACUGAGAUUCAGUCAAGGCGAGCAGGAUUGUACGCAGGGCUUAGCGAUCCGGUGUUUCUGUUUUGAAGGGCCAUCGCUCAACCGACAAAAGGAACUCCGGGGAUACCAGGCUGAUCCAGUCCAAGAGCCCACAUCGACGAGGCGGUUUGGCACCUCUCUGUCGGCUCGGCGGAUCCUGGGGCCGAAGCAGGUCCCAAGGGUAUCGCUGUUCGGCAUCUAAAGAGGUACGCGCGCGGGGCUCAGAACGGCGGGAAGAAGUUUCGUCCCUAAUCCAAAGAAGCGGUGGAGUUCUGAACGAAUCUGUGCCCAGUACGAGAUGACCGGGUAGGCCUAACCUCCGGGGUCUCAGUUG
rnacentral:rRNA from 1 species